rnacentral:sRNA from 1 species
CCUAGAUGUUGAUUGUCCCUCUCUUCUGUACCCACCCUACCAUGACAAUGACUUCGAGUUCCUGCAUUGUCCCUUGAUCCUGGCGCGGAUACGCGACCGACCGUUUUUAUGAUUUCGAAGAUUCAUUUCAAUUCACAAUGAUUCAUUAAUAUAAGCUUAUAUAUGGGGAAAUAUGUGUAUAUGGUUCCGAAUAGCACUAUAUAUGUGUGUGUGCAAUGUGUAUGUUUGCUCGCACUUGGGAAUUAAGGAUCUUUCCGUUUUCCUUAAUCUCAUAAUUAUUGCGAAUCUCCUCCCGUAAUCGAUUCGCAACUGGAUGGCCUCCAACAUGGUGAUAGGACUAACGCGGUCUUUCUUCUCAGGCAUUUAUCCGGCAAAGGCGAUUUCAAAGUCAUAUUCGUUAAAGCUCUCCCUCCAAAUGAGGGUCUGCGCUACGACAUCUUUACAACAGUUCACUUUGCCGUGGCAUCGAAGAACACUGCAUUCAGAUUCGAAGCCGAUUCGAAUGCGAAUGUCAAUGCAUUCGAGUCAAAUUUCGUUAAUGACAGCAUCCGCAUGACCAUUUAUUCGGGCCCAACGGAUCCGAAGCUAUAGCCAUUCACUACUGAGGGAGCAGCAGCAGCAGCUGCCGUGCGGUUUCCGUUUAGCAUGAUGCCUGCCCCAGGAUGACAGCUACGACACCGCACAUAGAACCGGAUAGGGAUACAGAUACGGAUAAACGAUUUGGCCUUUGUCACGUUGGAAUUGUCCCUCCGUUAGCUGCAUGAAGACCAAAUCUUGAUUUUCCUCUUUUGCUGGAAAGUCCGUCAGUACGGUGAUGCCUAUUGUAUUGUUCGAAAUUGUCUAUAUUUUUACUCGACCCGGGUACCCUUGUAGAGCUGUAUCAUUUUGAUGUCGGGCGUCUCGUCCUCCUUGGAAAAUAAAUUUCAAAUAAAAGGAUUUUGACAUUGCAAUAAUUCUGCUACAU